GACGAACGCUGGCGGCGUGCUUAACACAUGCAAGUCGAACGGAAGUUACGAGGAAGCUUGCGAAUUGUAACUUUAGUGGCGGACGGGUGAGUAACGCGUGGAUAACCUACCUUAAGGACUGGGAUAACACCGGGAAACUGGUGCUAAUACCGGAUAAGCUCAUCGGGGCACAUGCAUUGAUGAGGAAAGGAGAAAUCCGCUUUAAGAUGGGUCCGCGUCCCAUUAGCUAGUUGGGGGUGUAAGAGACCACCAAGGCGACGAUGGGUAGCCGGCCUGAGAGGGUGGACGGCCACACUGGAACUGAGACACGGUCCAGACUCCUACGGGUGGCAG
rnacentral:rRNA from 1 species